ACCGGUUGUGGUGGAUGUACCAGUCCUUGUGGGAGGUACGAUGACCACUGGAACCGUACGAUGGACAGAUAGACAUUGAGGACCUCCUGCAGUUCUACCUGCAACCGUACGGACUGUGGCAAGUCCCAUUAAGUAGGUCAGUGCGGAAGGAACCUGAAUACAAAACUAUCCCGCUGUAGUCGUAGGGAUGUCUACACUUCGACGGGUAGGAAUUACCAAAGAUGACGGUAUAGAUGUUGGGACUGACCUAAAUAGUUACAUACCCUAUAGUGGAAUAGACCACGAGUGAGAUUGCGGAGGCCGUAUCUCCUACUGUAGUCGUAGGGAUCUCUACACUUCGUCGGGUAGGAAUUACCAAAGAUGACGGUAUAGAUGUUGGGGCUGACCUAAAUAAUUACAUAACCUAGAGAGGAAUAGACAGUGGGUGGGGCUGCGGAGGCCGUAUACAUUCGGUGACCAAGGAGGAGACGAGAGAGAUUACGAUACACACAGGUACCGGUAGCUCGGUUUUAAAACAUGUGCUUACUCUAUUAAAUACUCAGGCUUAUGAUACGUACUUACUUAAAAACUUGUCUAGUAAGAAUAUAAACGAACUUAACCCUUCGUUUUCUUUUAGUAGGAGAAAACACGAAAAACAAACGACUAUGUAAUAUACCUACAUGACACAUACAUACAUUUCCUCUAUCUCUAUAUCCUCAACAUCGAAAAUAUUCUGUAACCAGAAAUCUUUGGGACCAUAACUACCCCCUUCUAUUAAUAGUGACAAAGGACCACUCUUUCGAAGGUUUAGGUUUCUUUUAUCCGUAUAUAUUAAAAAAGGGACCUUUAUGUUUAUACUUCUUUCUGUAACAUAAAGACCUUUUUUUCUAUUUUUAGAGAGG
rnacentral:rRNA from 1 species